GAUGAACGCUAGCUACAGGCUUAACACAUGCAAGUCGAGGGACCGGCGCACGGGAGAGGAACACGUAGCAAAACUGCCCUUUAGUCGGGGAUAGCCUUUCGAAAGAAAGAUUAAUACCCGAUGAAAAGGAUGGGGAUGCGUUCCAUUAGUUUGUUGGGGAGGUAACGCCUCACCAAGCAUUCGAUGGGUAGGGGUUAUGAGCGGAAGGUCCCCCACAUUUGAACUUACACACGGUCCAAACGCCUACUGUAGACAGCAGUGAGGAAUAUUGGUCAAUGGGCGUUAGCCUGAACCACCCAAUUAGCGUGAAGGAUGAAGGCUUAUGGGUCGUAUCCUUCUUUUAUAUAAGAAUAUGUAUUAUAUGAAUAAGGAUCUGCUAACUCCAUGCCAGCCGCCGCGGUAAUAC
rnacentral:rRNA from 1 species